AUUCAGUGUGAUGUUGGUUGUGGGUUUGUCAUAGAUGGCUCUUAUUAUUUGAGGAAUUGCAUAAAUUCGCUAGAAUCAGAAGUCAGUUGUCCUGAUCUCAGAACAAUUUGGUGUGUACAAAGUCCAAGGUUUGAAAACUCAUCAAGAAGUCAGCAUCCUGCAAGAAUCAGCCACCCAUGCCACACUUUCUAUAGUAACUUCUGUUCUGCAUCAGACUACAUCACUCUGGCUUUCUGAGGGCACUAUUCCAGGCGAGUGCUCUGGGAGGAAUUACCCAGCAUCCCUGUAGAAGCCACUACUGAUGUCAGCUACAAGAGGAAAGGAACCCAAGUGGACUUCAGCCAGAACAAAGCUCUGUCACAUGUUGGAAUUUUACUGAACUUGAACAAAUUAUUCUUCAGAAAAAGUAUUUUAAAGUCAAAAGACUCCUAGAUGAUUUCUAGGUCUUUUGCAGCAUUAACUUCCUUUGAAUCAAUGCCUUCAAUGAUUAUUUAAAAGAAAAGAAAGAAAAAAUCAGAAAGUAAAGAAAUGGAUUAGCUAGUAACCUUUAAAGAAAGCCCUCUUUCAUUCAUUUUUCUUCAAAGAUUUAUGUGAUUUUUUUCUUAUCUUGAUGUAUAAUAAUAAGAAUUAGCUGCAAAAAGCUACAAGAAAGGUUGCAUAAGUGCAUACAUUCUUUUAGAGUUCUGCUUCCUGUGGUAGUUCUUCACUUUUAGUGAUGAGUUGCUGAAGCAGGCACUCAUUCUUUUAUUGCAUCAUUUAUUCUUGUUAUCUGGGGAAGUAACAAUGACAAGCUUUCCUAAGUAACAGCCCAACUCUUAUUUGUGACUCCUUUUCCUAUGUCAAUAUUAGGAUCAUUCUAUCAAUGAAGAGGUCCUAUUACCUAGGAAACCAUGAAAGGUAAGACCUAUGAUCACAGGUGCUUACAUGCAUGCAAAUGUAAAAGGAAUACUUAAACCCUCACCUAACUUCUUUGGAAGUUUCAGUACACAGUUAUUGUUGAUAGGCAAUUAAGGUGCGUGUGUGAGUGUAGUAUGUGUUUUUGUAAGAAAAAAAGUAGAGGAAAUGGGAGAUAAUUUAGUGUGCUGGAAAGUUAUAGAAUUUGAUAUCUUGUUUUGCAUAGAUGAUGCAUUGUAGGAGUGACAUUAUUGUGAAACUUUGUUCAGUCGGUUUUCCUUCAAGCGAUUUUGGUGCAGUUUUUCCAAUCCAGUGUUAAGGGCAUGACAAUGUAUUUUUCACAAGCUUGUCUAAGAGGAAACUCUGACAGAUUAUGAUGAGGAAAACUAAAUCCACUCAUGUCAUGUAAACACAUAGAAGACUUCUCAGUGGGGUCUCUGCCUUGUACCUCAGAUGCCAAGGGGGAGUUUGAGAUUUGUCAAGUUGUUGACAACUACUUUAGUCCAUUUUGUGCUGCCAUAACAGAAUGACACGGAUGUGGUAAUUUAUAAUGAACAGAAAUUUACUUCUUGAGGCUGGGAAAUCCAAGGUUGAGGUGCCAGCAUCUGGCAAGGGCUUUCUUAUUGUGUCAUCAUAUGGUGGAAGGCAGAAUGUCAAGAGAGAAGGAGGAAACCAAAUUUACCCUUUGAUAAAGGCACCCAUUCCACACGUAAGGGUGAAGCCCUCAUGGCCUGCCACCUUUUAAAGACUCCACCUCUUGAUACUGUCACAAUAGCAACUGCAUUUCAGCAUGAGUUCUGGAAGGGACAGUUUCCAAACCAGAGGAGCAAUUGCCUAUCAAAGGUUGCAAGAAAGAGGUAUUUUACUAUUAUUUGAGCUACCAUUUUUAGCUUUAUCCAUACUUUUAGAAAUAGGUGUUUGAUUGAACUCAAAUUAUCCAGUUUGAGAAUGUCAUAAUUUUCUAUUAGGGGUCUGGCUGAUCUAGUCAUUAAAAAAGACACAUAAUAAAUGUAUAAGCAUGUUUUUAAAUGGACAGUUUAUAAGUUAGUUAAUAAUAUUAGUGUGAAUUACUGUUACCACUAAAUAAAUAAACCACUACAUUUUAUAUUCUUUCAACAAUCUGAAAAAAAUAUUUUGUAAAAAAUUACUGUAAUGCAAAAUUUGGCUUAGUUAGCAACAGAGAGGGUAAAUAUCUGCUUUAAAGAUCACAAUGCCUGAUGGCUAUGAAACAGAUGAGAAGUUUUGAGAAAAUGACAUCAAUAUGGUGUUGAUUGGUUUCACGUGGCUUUGAGCUUUUCUGCCACUGGGAAGAUCACUACUGUACAUAGUUUACAUAUGAUUCAUGUGUGAUGCCAGAUUGCAGCUUCCUUCUUGCUGUAUCUUAAGUGUACUUGGUAUUCUGAUUCAAGAGUGAGAUCUUGAAGCUUUGGCAAAUAGAAUUGCCUAAUUUUCAUUUGUCCACUAAGCAAUGCAUGCAGUUAAAAAAAUGAAAACAAUACCAAACCUCCUUCUUUUGCAGUGAAGGAGCCCAAAACUCUCUUUCCGUCUCUCUUUCCGUCUCUCUUUCCGUCUCUCUCUUUAACUUAGAAUAUUGGUUAUUUUGUAUUCUCACACAUGUAAAAUUCCUUUCCUUUAAUUCAUAUGUUCUCAAUAAAAAAGAAUUUUCCACUGAA